rnacentral:rRNA from 1 species
GGGGGAAAAUUAAUAAAAUUAUGAAUAAUAAAAUAAAUUUUAAAAUUAAAAAUAAUUAAUGGGGGUUAAAGUAUUUUUAAUAGAAAAAAUUUAAAAUUUUAAAGGGGAUUAGUAUUGUGAAAGAAAUUUGAAAUAAAAUGAAAAUUAAUUAAUAAAAAAGAAAAUUUAAUUUAUUGUAUCUUGUGUAUCAGAGUUUAUUAAAUAAAUUUUUUAAGUAAAAAAAUCUCGAAUUUAAAAGAGUUAAUUAAUUAUAAAAGUUAAUGUAACAUAAUUAUUUUAAAUAAUUAAUUAGAAAUGAAAUGUUAAUCGUUUUUAAAUAUAUCUAGUUAUUUUAGAAAAAAAUUAAAUUUUAAAUUUAAAUAAUUUUAUAAUUUAAUAAUAAAAAUUAUAAAAAUUUAAUUUUAAUAUAUUAAGGGAUAAGCUUUAAAUUAAAAAUUUAUAAUAAAAAUUAAAAAAAAUAAAAUUUUUAAAAUUUAUAUUGUUUAAAAAUUAUAAUUUAUUAUAAAAAAUUUUAAUUAAAAAUAAAAUUUAAAAGAAAAAUUUAAAUUUUUAUAAAAUAAUAAUUUAUAAUAAAAUUAAAUUAGAAAUAAUGAUAAAAUUAGUAUAAAAAAAAAUUAAAUAAGUAAAUUAAAAAUUAAAAUUAAUUAAAAGGAAUUCGGCAAAAUUAAUAUUCACUUGUUUAUCAAAAACAUGUCUUUUUGAAUAUAAUUUAAAGUCUAAUCUGCCCACUGAUAAAUAUUAAAGGGCUGCAGUAUAUUGACUGUACAAAGGUAGCAUAAUCAUUAGUUUUUUAAUUGGAAACUUGUAUGAAAGAUUUGAUGAAAUAUGAACUGUCUCUUAAUUAAUAUUAGAAAUUUAUUUUUUAGUUAAAAAGCUAAAAUAAUUUUAAAAGACGAGAAGACCCUAUAGAGUUUUAUAUUUAAUGUUAUUUUAAAAAAUUAUGAAAAUUAAUAUUAAAAUAAAAUUAAAUAUUAUAUUGGGGUGAUAGAAAAAUUAAAUUAACUUUUUUUAAAAAUUUAACAUAAAUAAAUGAAUAAAUGAUCCAUUAUUAAUGAUUAUAAGAAAAAAUUACCUUAGGGAUAACAGCGUAAUAUUUUUUUUUAGUUCAAAUAAAAAAAAAAGUUUGCGACCUCGAUGUUGGAUUAAGAUAAAAAUUAAAUGCAAAAGUUUAAAAUUUUGAUCUGUUCGAUCAUUAAAAUCUUACAUGAUCUGAGUUCAAACCGGUGUAAGCCAGGUUGGUUUCUAUCUUUAGAAAAAAAAAAUAUUUUAGUACAAAAGGAUCAAAUAUUGAAAAUAAUUUUAAUAAAAAGAAUAUUAUUAAAUAAAGUAUAAAUAAAUUAUA